rnacentral:rRNA from 1 species
CAGGUCUUGACAUCCUCUGACAUCCUAGAGAUAGGACGUUCCCCUUCGGGGGACAGAGUGACAGGUGGUGCAUGGUUGUCGUCAGCUCGUGUCGUGAGAUGUUGGGUUAAGUCCCGCAACGAGUCGCAACCCUUGAUCUUUAGUUUGCCAGCAUUUAGUUGGGCACUCUAAGGUGACUGCCGGUUGACAAACCGGAGGAAGGUGGGGAUGACGUUCAAAUCAUCAUGCCCCUUAUGACCUGGGGCUACACCACGUGCUUACAAUGGAUGGUACAAAGGGUCUGGCAAGACCGUCGAGGUUUUAGCCAAUCCCAUUAAACCAUUCUCAGUUUCGGAUUUGCAGGUCUUGCAACUCGGCCUUGUCAUUGGAAGUCCGGGAAUCGUCUAGUAAUCGCGGAUCAGUCAUGCCGUCGGUGGAAUA